rnacentral:rRNA from 1 species
AAGUAAAAGUCGUAACAAGGUUUCCGUAGGUGAACCUGCGGAAGGAUCAUUAUUGAUUGGUCGAAAGACCUUAUCAGAUUCUACCACCUCUGUGAACCGUUGACCUCCGGGUUAAUAAUCAAACAUCAGUGUAACGAACGUAAGAGUAUCUUAAUUAAACAAAACUUUUAACAACGGAUCUCUUGGCUCUCGCAUCGAUGAAGAACGCAGCGAAAUGCGAUAAGUAAUGUGAAUUGCAGAAUUCAGUGAAUCAUCGAAUCUUUGAACGCACCUUGCGCCUUUUGGUAUUCCGAAAGGCAUGCCUGUUUCAGUGUCAUGAAAUCUCAAUCUAAUAUGUUUUCUGAACAUGUUAGGCUUGGACUUGGGUGUCUGCCAGCAAUGGCUCACCUCAAAUGACUUAGUGGAACAUCCCACAUCAGUGUUAGACGUAAUAAGUUUCGUCUCUCCUUGUGGUGAUGACUGCUCAAAACCUGCCAUCGCGCACCUUUUGACUUUGACCUGAAAUCAGGUAGGGCUACCCGCUGAACUUAA